CGCGGGAUGGAGCAGUCUGGUAGCUCGUCAGACUCUAAACUGAAGGUCGGAGGUUCGAAUCCUUCCCCCGCAACCA
rnacentral:tRNA from 1 species